CCCCUCCGCCGCCACCUCCAGGAACCGCCGCUGCCGCCCCAUGGCCCCGAACGGAAGCCGCCGCCAGACAGAAAAGAAAAAGAAGAAAAGAAGAGCCAGGAGGAUAGGUUGUUCAGUUUACUACUGGAGACCUGACUGUGACAGACCACCAAGAAAACAAAAUUUUCAAAGAGAGCAAAGAAGACCUUCUGCAGCAUCUGCGAGUCUCUCCUUUUUUCUUCAGUUACGUAGGAUAACUUAGCCAGAACUUAUUGAUGACUGCAUGUUCAGUGGACUCGGGAAUGGACUGGGAGAUGCGGGAAGGCACUCUUUGGAAGGAACAGAAGAGGAGGCAUUUCAAAGAUCCUGCAGGUGACUGAGGUGAUGAUCUGCUGCCAGAAUAAAUAAAUGUUAGAAAGUGCCGAGACUGCUCAGCCAUUUGUCGCGGUAUCACUACCCCAUGAGGAACCUGUAUCAUCAUGUUUCUUCAAGUAUCUUCUCUCCUGUGUUCGAAUAUUGAUCCAGUGGGGUCAAUGCACGUUAUUCCAUGGUGAUGAUUGGGACUUGCACUUAACACCUUGGCACGUGGGAGAUCCCUGCUCAGUUUCCAUCUCUGUUAUGCGUUUGCUCUGGAACGUAGGUGAGUCACUCUUGGGCCAGCCACAAUAGGGUUGACAGAGCUUCUUUCUUAUGCCCUGGCUGCUUGGAUAGUCUGCUUUGUGACAGGGAUGUUUCCUACUAUAUUUCUGUACCUAGGAAGUAGGGUUCCAAUUCCAUUUGGUACCUCAGGUUACAUAACAUAACAAAUUUAAUUUCAAAUAAUGACAUCAAGAUUAAAAAAAAAAUCCCUAUCACAUUAAUUAUCCUCAGAGCAUUCCACUCCCUUUGCAAAUUUAUUUUGGAGACUAAGCAAGGUUAUACUGCCGUAUUAAAUAUAGUCAUCUGUGUGGAUAAAAGUAGUUGUAAAGCUCCGGCUAAUACUCAUAUGAAGUUUAGAUUAGAGCAUACGUUCCACCUACUGAUACCAAAAAUACCAAGUUAAUGUACCAAAAAUAAACAUUCGUGUAAAGAAAACAAAGAAGCUUUUAAGUGAUCAUUCUGAAAAUUUCAAUGGCAUUUUGCAGUCAUUUGCGUUGCAUGAUUUGUGCUUAAAAUACU